rnacentral:rRNA from 1 species
AUACGGAGGGUGCAAGCGUUACUCGGAAUCACUGGGCGUAAAGCGCGCGCAGGCGGCUAUUUAAGUUGGAUGUGAAAGCCUACGGCUCAACCGUAGAACUGCACCCAAAACUAUUUAGCUAGAGUGUGAGAGAGGAAGAUGGAAUUAGUUGUGUAGGAGUAAAAUCCGUAGAGAUAACUAGGAAUACCAAAAGCGAAGGCAAUCUUCUGGAACACUACUGACGCUGAGGCGCGAAAGCGUGGGGAGCAAACAGCAUUAGAAACCCUAGUAGUCC